UCAUAAUUAUGAUAAUUUUCCUACUGAGGGCCAUUGGAUAUUCUCCUCAGCUAGCGAACUCUCACCACAGAGAGGAGCUGUUGCCAAGGUGCAAAACCUCUGCCUGGUUUCUGUGAUCUUAAGUCUGUGCAUAAAAGACUGAAAAUGAUGAUGAAUAAAGGGAAUAAAGAGUUUUGUUUCUUCCUCUUUAUUUAGGCUGCAUUAUAAGAAAUGUUUUAGCUUACAUUGGGGUUUGAUUGUUUGGCAGUAAAUUAAACAAUGGAAAUUUCAAAUUUACAUUUUGGUUGGAAUUAUGAAGUGAAUUUGUUAAUCAUGUCAUUUAUUUGAAUUUUAUUCUGUAAAUUACCUGAACUUCUACACAAAGUCUGUCUGACUGCAUAAUAUCUAAACAAUAAAUAAAAUUUGAU